GACGAACGCUGGCGGCGUGCUUAACACAUGCAAGUCGAACGGAAAGGCCCUGCUUUUGUGGGGUGCUCGAGUGGCGAACGGGUGAGUAACACGGGAGUAACCUGCCCUUGACUUUGGGAUAACUUCAGGAAACUGGGGCUAAUACCGGAUAGGAGCUCCUGCUGCAUGGUGGGGGUUGGAAAGUUUCGGCGGUUGGGGAUGGACUCGCGGCUUAUCAGCUUGUUGGGGGGGUAGUGGCUUACCAAGGCUUUGACGGGUAGCCGGCCUGAGAGGGUGACCGGCCACAUUGGGACUGAGAUACGGCCCAGACUCCUACGGGAGGCAGCAGUGGAGAAUAUUGCACAAUGGGCGGAAGCCUGAUGCAGCAACGCCGCGUGCGGGAUGACGGCCUUCGGGUUGUAAACCGCUUUCGCCUGUGACGAAGCGUGAGUGACGGUAAUGGGUAAAGAAGCACCGGCUAACUACGUG
rnacentral:rRNA from 1 species